UACGGGGGGAGCAAGCGUUGUUCGGAAUCACUGGGCGUAAAGCGCACGUAGGCGGAUCUUUAAGUCAGGGGUGAAAUCCCGAGGCUCAACCUCGGAACUGCCUUUGAUACUGGGGAUCUCGAGUCCGGGAGAGGUGAGUGGAACUGCGAGUGUAGAGGUGAAAUUCGUAGAUAUUCGCAAGAACACCAGUGGCGAAGGCGGCUCACUGGCCCGGAACUGACGCUGAGGUGCGAAAGCGUGGGGAGCAAACAGG
rnacentral:rRNA from 1 species